UAGCCCUUUUGGUGGAGCACAAGGCUUCUAACCUUGUAGUCGUGGGUUCAAACCCCCC
rnacentral:tRNA from 1 species